AGUGAACGCUGGCGGUAGGCCUAACACAUGCAAGUCGAACGGCAGCACAGUAAGAGCUUGCUCUUACGGGUGGCGAGUGGCGGACGAGUGAGGAAUACAUCGGAAUCUACUUUUUCGUGGGGGAUAACGUAGGGAAACUUACGCUAAUACCGCAUACGACCUACGGGUGAAAGCAGGGGAUCUUCGGACCUUGCGCGAUUGAAUGAGCCGAUGUCGGAUUAGCUAGUUGGCGGGGUAAAGGCCCACCAAGGCGACGAUCCGUAGCUGGUCUGAGAGGAUGAUCAGCCACACUGGAACUGAGACACGGUCCAGACUCCUACGGGAGGCAGCAGUGGGGAAUAUUGGACAAUGGGCGCAAGCCUGAUCCAGCCAUACCGCGUGGGUGAAGAAGGCCCUCGGGUUGUAAAGCCCUUUUGUUGGGAAAGAAAAGCAGCAGGUUAAUACCCCGCUGUUCUGACGGUACCCAAAGAAUAAGCACCGGCUAACUUCGUG
rnacentral:rRNA from 1 species